CCUACGGGAGGCAGCAGUGGGGGAUAUUGCACAAUGGGGGAAACCCUGAUGCAGCGACGCCGCGUGGGUGCAGAAGCGCCUCGGCGCGUAAAGCCCUGUCAGCAGGGAAGAAAAUGACGGUACCUGAAGAAGAAGCCCCGGCUAACUACGUGCCAGCAGCCGCGGUAAUACGUAGGGGGCCAGCGUUAUCCGGAUUUACUGGGUGUAAAGGGGGCGCAGACGGCGAUGCAAGCCAGGAGGGAAAUCCCGGGGCCCAACCCCGGGACUGCUCUUGAAACUGCGUGGCUAGAGUGCAGGAGGGGCAGGCGGAAGUCCUGGGGUAGCGGUGAAAUGCGGAGAUAGCAGGAGGAACACCGGUGGCGAAGGCGGCCUGCUGGACUGCAACUGACGUUGAGGCCCGAAAGCGUGGGGAGCAAACAGGAUUAGAUACCCUGGUAGUC
rnacentral:rRNA from 1 species